GGGACCCUGGGAGCAGAGGAGACCCCUCGCCCACGCUGGCCAAAGGAGGCUUACCUGGAAAAAGAUGUAGGGCCUGCUCCAAGCCAGCAGCUCCCGGCUUCCUCCCCAAAAUGCAGGCCUUCCAGCCAACAGCCUGAGGUCAUGGAUGGUGUCGCAGCCAGUCCAUCCAGCAUGUCACAAGCCAAACUGUGCUCAGCCUGGACCUGUGAGCGGGCUGUGGGACCUCCUCUGCAGAGAACAGCUUCUUGGAGGCACCUGAAGGCACUGGG